CCGUACCGCAAACCGACACAGGUGGGCAGGAUGAAAAUUCUAAGGCGCUUGAGAGAACUCAGGAGAAGGAACUCGGCAAAUUAACACCGUAACUUCGGGAGAAGGUGUGCCCCGGUAGCGUGUAGAGACUUGCUCUCGAAGCGCGAUGGGGUUGCAGUGAAAUGGUGGCUGCGACUGUUUAAUAAAAACACAGCACUCUGCAAACACGAAAGUGGACGUAUAGGGUGUGACGCCUGCCCGGUGCCGGAAGGUUAAGUGAUGGGGUGCAAGCUCUUGAUCGAAGCCCCGGUAAACGGCGGCCGUAACAAUAACGGUCCUAAGGUAGCGAAAUUCCUUGUCGGGUAAGUUCCGACCUGCACGAAUGGCGUAACGAAGGCCACACUGUCUCCUCCUGGGACUCAGCGAAGUUGAAAUGUUUGUGAAGAUGCAAUCUACCCGCGGCUAGACGGAAAGACCCCAUGAACCUUUACUGUGGCUUUGCAUUGGCCUUUGAACCGGUUUGUGUAGGAUAAGUGGGAGACUGUGAAGCCGGGACGCUAGUUUCGGUGGAGUCAACCUUGAAAUACCACCCUGAUUUGUUUGAGGUUCUAACCUUGGUCCGUGAAUCCGGAUCGGGGACCGUGCAUGGUAGGCAGUUUGACUGGGGCGGUCUCCUCCCAAAAGGUAACGGAGGAGUACGAAGGUACGCUUAGGGCGGUCGGACAUCGCCCACAAAGUGCAAUGGCAAAAGCGUGCUUGACUGCGAGACCCACAAGUCGAGCAGGUACGAAAGUAGGUCAUAGUGAUCCGGUGGUUCUGUAUGGAAGGGCCAUCGUUCAACGGAUAAAAGGUACUCUGGGGAUAACAGGCUAAUUCCUCCCAAGAGUUCAUAUCGACGGGGGAGUUUGGCACCUCGAUGUCGGCUCAUCACAUCCUGGGGCUGUAGUCGGUCCCAAGGGUAUGGCUGUUCGCCAUUUAAAGUGGUACGCGAGCUGGGUUUAAAACGUCGUGAGACAGUUUGGUCCCUAUCUGCCGUGGGCGCUGGAAAUUUGAAGGGGGCUGCUCCUAGUACGAGAGGACCGGAGUGGACGAACCUCUGGUGUACCGGUUAUGACGCCAGUCGUAUCGCCGGGUAGCUAAGUUCGGAAGAGAUAAACGCUGAAAGCAUCUAAGCGUGAAACUCGCCUUAAGAUAAGAUUUCCCGGAGUCUUGAACUCCCUGAAGGGUCGU
rnacentral:rRNA from 1 species